rnacentral:rRNA from 1 species
UGUGGGUAACCUGCCUUAUAGUGGGGGAUAGCCUUUCGAAAGGAAGAUUAAUACCGCAUAAGAUUGUAGUAUCGCAUGAUAUAGCAAUUAAAGGAGCAAUCCGCUAUAAGAUGGACCCGCGUCGCAUUAGCUAGUUGGUGAGGUAAUGGCUCACCAAGGCGACGAUGCGUAGCCGACCUGAGAGGGUGAUCGGCCACAUUGGGACUGAGACACGGCCCAGACUCCUACGGGAGGCAGCAUG